rnacentral:lncRNA from 1 species
GUCUAAAUCUUUGCAUUUACAUCUUACACAUGCAUGUCAUGAUUGUUAAUUUAUUUUACCCUUACACUACAUACCAUGCCAUCGUACCACUGAUACAUAUUUUCGUUUUGUUUUAUUUUGCCAUCCACCACCAUAAUCAUGUUGUCAUGUUAUACUCAUAUUAUCAUGCAUCCUUUUCUAUUUUUGAAAUCCCACCUUUAUUUAUAAUUUUGUCAUUUUAUCCACCCUACUAUCUUUAUAUUUUAUUUUACACGCAUUCGACCUUUUGAUCAUGUCACUGAUACUUCCCUGCCUUUCCUUCUUUGUUUUCUAUAUAUGGAAAGCCCACCACCACCCUUUGGCAACGUGC